UGCUUCUGGCCACGCUGCUCUCCCCCCAGCCUCUGAAGCAGCUGCAGUUCCGGGGCUGGCACGCUGCGGCCGUGCCGCCGCCGGAGCAACUCCAGCCAGGCCAGAGGCAUCCUCCCAUGGCCCUCCCCAGAUAAGAUUAUGAACAAAUAGGAAAAUGAAGGCGAAGACGACGGAGUUAGCUGCAGAAGCCAAUAUUUUAAGUUUCUCAUGUUGACCUGGCUGACAGUCUAUUUAAUUUUUUUUAAUAUUUCAUUUAACUAUUUUAGUUAAACAAUUUUAACAAAAACAAACCUGAUUUUAAAAACUUGAAUGUUUAACCAAAUUCAAAAAUUAAUAUGCUUGUUUUGUUAAAAUGUGUUUGCCGUUUAAGAAAAAAAAUGCAGAAUACAUAACGUUGUUGUUUUAGUUAAAUGUCUGUCUGGUGAUGUUCUCCUCCUAAAACAAAAUGGCAAGAAAAUCCUCCAAAUAUUAAUGAUUAUCCUAUUGAAUUGGAGAUAGUUCACCUACCAAAGACUUCAUAAAUGUCUGCACUUCAAUUACCUUUGGUAAAUGAAAUAACCAAUCAUUCAUUUUCUGAUAUAGCUGUAAAACUAAUCAGAAAAGUUUUCAAAAUAAAUCACUUUAAAAAUGUAUAGUGUGUACCUUCUAAAAAUGAAACCUACAUCUAUCUCUGAGUUGUGAAGAAUAUGUAUUAAGGUUAUAACAACCAACAUGAAUGUACUUUUAUGUAGAAAUCCAUGAUUAAAUCGAGUCUUUCCGACUAGUGAUUUAAAU